AUUGGUAUCGCCAAGCGGUAAGGCACCGGUUUUUGAUACCGGCAUUCCCUGGUUCGAAUCCAGGUACCCCAGCCA
rnacentral:tRNA from 1 species